UGUUGUGAUGAUGGCAUUGAGGUCACACCUGUUCCCAUACCGAACACAGAAGUUAAGCUCAAUCGCGCCGAAAGUAGUUGGGGGAUCGCUCCCUGCGAGGAUAGGGCGUCGC
rnacentral:rRNA from 1 species